UUGGUUGAAAAUAGCGGAAACACCGCGUCACGGACACGGCGCAUGCGCACUGCGCGCUUGUAAACUACGCAUGCGCACUGCGCGCUUUAAAUGAGGUCUGCGAGCGCGUAACCGUCCCAGUCCGUCUGCAGCAUUGAGGCACCAAUGUGUCUUGCUGGCUUCACGUGAAGGAUAAUGCAGGCCAAGAGCCUCACUUCCGGCUCUUGGUCACGUGGUUAUUACCAGCGUAGGAGGUGGGACUCGCGCCCUUUUUCUGCAGAAGACCUGAGCCCCAUUCACUCCAAUGGAAAAUUGUAUGAUCAGCCAACAGCAGAAAGGUGAAUUAGAUGACAUGAAGCUGCACAUCCACUUGUGUACAUGAAGUGUAAUCCUUUCUUACAUUAAGUGAGUGAGGCCUGCACCAUCAUGGUAUUUUGGAACAUCAUGAACCUGCAGCUCCGCUGACAUCUAGAUGGUUCCAGGACUUGGUUUUCUUUCUAAGGAUGCAAAACUGAUCCUGAGGCCCAGUGGGUGGGUGUUCCAACACUUUUUUUGGGUGUCCCCCCCCCCCCCCCCCCAAGGUUGUAAAACUGAGAUCAUGGCAUGAAGCAUCUUUGAAUGGGCUCAAGGGGAGGUGCCCAAGGGCUAUCAUGGAUUGCUAUAACAUUCAAGCUGAGGUGUUGAUUGGUGGUCAAGUUGCAGUCAGAUUAAUGGGAGGGAUAGCAGUGUGACCAUUGGUGGAUUUAAGGUGGCCACCCUGCUUGACCCCCGGGGGUGUGAAGGUGUUCCAGGAAUGUUACACUGCAUGUGUGCGCACACACAGGCCUUGUUUUAAAAUCCAAUUUGCUGGCAUGCCAUCACCAGUUGGAAACAGUGUAGUUUCCUUAUAAACUGCAGCAGUGACCAUGCCGUAUUCUCAUUUUCUCCAAAUUGUCUCAAUUUUGUCCAUUUAAAAUCUUCCUCCAGCUGCAUAUAUCUUAUGGAGUUUAGCUGUGCCUGGAUGAAGAUCUAGUCUGGGGAAGGAUGGAACAUCAUUCAAAAAUGCAAACACCUGUGGAAGUGAUGCUGCCGAUGCAGUUUUCAACUGUGGCUACUGUAGCUGUAGGCAUGAUUGAUUAGAUCAGGGGUUCCCAGACUUUUCCAGUGCAAGGCCCCCUUCAGUCAAAUGUUAAUGGCAUUAACAUUUGACUGAGGCCCUCCUUUUGCAAGAUGUCUUUAAAACAUUAAAAAUACAGAUUUUUGGAAUAUUAAUUUAAAAAAGGGGAUAUAAUCAUCUCACAUCACUUACAUUAGGGGUGGUUGUCUUGACUGAGAAUUUAUCUUUCACACCAAAUUGGUGAGGACCCCUGGUUUGAAAACCACUGGAUUAGAUUCAGUAGCCUGGUGAUAUCCAGUCAAGUUAGGGGUUUUCAUUUUUGUAUAUAUCCAUGCCCAUAUAUUGACUUUAUAUGAUGAGUACAUUUAUGAUGGGUGUAUAUCUUAAAUUGCUGGAUGUAGACUGUAAUAGAGCCUUUUGAAUUCUCUUGUGUUGAAACUGUGAAAUAAACUGAUAUUCAGGUUGGUAUAUGACUCAAAGGAUCUAUGUAAUGAACCAUUUAGACUCAAGGUACUUGUAAAAAGUCAACUUUUUAAAAAAAAUAUAUUCAUCAAAAAAUAUAACAACCUUAUCGUAUUGCAUUUAAGAGAGAUUCAAAUGCUAUUGCGCCAUGCUGAUGUACUAUAGAUUUGCACAGAAUAAAGGAAACGUUUCACAUUUUGA